rnacentral:rRNA from 1 species
GACGAACGCUGGCGGCGUGCCUAAUACAUGCAAGUAGAACGCUGAAGGAGGAGCUUGCUUCUCUGGAUGAGUUGCGAACGGGUGAGUAACGCGUAGGUAACCCGCCUGGUAGCGGGGGAUAACUAUUGGAAACGAUAGCUAAUACCGCAUAAGAGUAGAUGUCGCAUGACAUUUGCUUAAAAGGUGCACUUGCAUCACUACCAGAUGGACCUGCGUUGUAUUAGCUAGUUGGUGAGGUAACGGCUCACCAAGGCAACGAUACAUAGCCGACCUGAGAGGGUGAUCGGCCACACUGGGACUGAGACACGGCCCAGACUCCUACGGGAGGCAGCAGUGGGGAAUCUUCGGCAAUGGACGGAAGUCUGACCGAGCAACGCCGCGUGAGUGAAGAAGGUUUUCGGAUCGUAAAGCUCUGUUGUAAGAGAAGAACGAGUGUGAGAGUGGAAAGUUCACACUGUGACGGUAUCUUACCAGAAAGGGACGGCUAACUACGUG